CUUUAAUUGUACUGGAUGUUGUUGAAUUGUUCCCCAUAAGGAAUGUGCAAGCGUUCCAGAUGCUUAUUGCUUCAGAUCUUCAGCGAUAUAUGGUAUUGUCUGAUUCAAUUUGUUGUGUAACAUCGGUUCUCCUGUUUGUGAAGGGAGUUGUGAAUUUUAAUCUGCUUUUGCUGUUAGUCUCCCUCCGCUCCUCCUUUAUCACCCUUUUAAAGCCGCCUUUAUUCAUCUCAGCUGUUGCUUUUUCUCCUGAGUCUGUUUUCUCCUUAUGAUUUUAUAUUUCAGAAAGGCCCCAUGUUCUUGUACCCUGUAUACAUGAAAAAAUUUCCUGACAUCAUCCUACAUACCCAGCAAUGGAUGCUUAUCCAUGGUUUGCUCUUUCUCUAAGUCCUCUAAUCAGGCAUCUAUUUUUUCCUCCCUUCUGUAUUUUUUUGUAGAUUUCAUGCCAGUUUUGUUCUCUUAAUUUGCUCUUGAACAAAACAUGGUCUGAUGCUUGUUGAGGUAAAAGGCAAAUUGCCUGCCAUCUCAUAGGGGCAGAAUUCUAUUUCCUUCCUUGUCUACAGCGGAACUGAGGCUGCAUAAGCACAGGCCCUGGUCCACUUCCUUGAUUAAAACCCAUUUUCACUUGCGAUUUCACUGCUCUGGGAGUGGCAUCUUCCUCUCGCUCCCUGCAUAGGCUUUGGGGAGGGGUCAGAUUGAACCCAUUCAAUACAAAGUCCGCCUGAAUUAACCGCUGGGGCAGGAGAACAUUAAAGCAUCAGCGGCCUUUUCCAAAAAAUGGGGAUGAUAAUGGCUGAGGAUUAAUUACACAGAAAGGGCUCAGCAUAAUGCUAGACAGAUGGCAAGUAUUUAAUAAGUGGUAGCUGCCAUCAUUAUUAUUUCAUUAUUGGUAUGUUAUUCGUAUACUGUAUGCUUGUGUGUGUUAUGCCCAGAUUUCAAGAUUCCCAAGAGCCCACCAGGGAGCCAGUGAGUCCGAUGCAAAAGCAAAGAGUCCUUCAUUUCAAACUAGUUCGGCUCCCCGACCACACUCACCGAUGCAACGAACUGCCCGGCCUCCCCUGCGGACACCGGCCCAGCGCCACCUCUGCAGCCCCAGCAACCACAGCUCACCCCUGGCGACCACGAUCAUCACCUGAGUGGUUGCUCUCCUCAAAGUGUGGUCCGGAAUCAGCAGCCUCAGCAUUGCCUGGAAGGUGUUACAAAUACUCACACCUCACCUCAGACCUACAGCGUCAGCCAUUCACAUUUCCACAAGACUCCAAGGUUUGGCAACUGUUCGUCAGCGUGACAAUCCCAAAAGCCGGUGAGGAUGUGGGGAAAAGGAGUUCACACGGUGCUGGAGGGAGACACACGGAAACUAGCUGCCUUGUAGAGCAGUUGGUUCCCUGAAGUUGAAGACGCUCAGACCCUGUGGCGAAGCAGCUCCGCUACCUGACUGCCUUGGAGGGACUCUCGAUGGGCACCAGGGACUGUGCUCAAGGACAUUCUUCGCAAUGAUCUUUGUGGAAAUAGUCUAAUUGUCCUUCAGCCAGGACUCUUUUGUUUGUAAAUGGGAGGUUAUAAAGCCGUUAAAAUGAAUAAAUUAUAUCUAUAUAUAUCAAUAUGGAUCCACUACAAAAAACAGUAUU